AUUACGAUUUAUGGGAUUAAAGAGAUUUCGUAAUCCUCGAUCUGUGGAAGUCUGAGCUAGACUUACAUACACUGAGACCUGUGCCUGGGCAAAUAUGUUCAGUUAAAGCUAAUUCUAGUUAAGUUCACUUAAUACUGUGCAGCCGUUUUCCGCUGUGAAGGAGAUUUGAUUGUGGAUGCGCGAAGAAUUCCUAAAUACAGUAUGUGAAAAAAGCAAGGAUGGCAUUCCUUUGGCAGAGAGACUUGCACUUUUCAUUUUGUACCUUUCCAAACAGACUGAAGUUUUCUAAUCUCCCUUAUGUGUUACUGAAUAUAUUAACUGAGUACAUUAAGACAAAAAUGAAGAUUAGGAAGCGCCCAUCAAAAACCGGAUGUUUAUUCUUUGUCUGCUCUGUUUAACAGACUUGGAGGCUCUUUUGAAACAAAGAAACCCGGUCUUUCCUCUUUCAAUACACCAUAAUUAUUUGUUUUCUAAGCAAUAGCCAAGUUCAAAUAAGACUUGCAAUACUUUUGGAUCAAAAGCAAGUCAUAAACAAAACCUUAACUUUUUGAAGUAAACACAUUACACAUAAUUUCUGACUGAGUAUCAUGACCAUGGAAGAAAUAAUAGGCAUGUAUGUAAAAACAGAAGUAAAAGAAGAAGAAACAAUGUAAUUGACAGAGAGUUCAUAGCAAGGACAGAACGUGGGUCUCUCUUGGCUAAUGACAUUUUUAGCAUAACUGCACUAAAUCAAGUUUUGCUCCCAUAUUCACGUGUUAGGAGAAGAGACUGGGUAUGAAUCAGUUAUUAACAGAAUAGUCACACAGUUAGGAUGAAAUUUUACAUUCACCCUUAUACCUAGGGGGAAAAAAAAAUAUUGAAGGUCCUUUUUGCUGCGUUUCUGCCACUAGGAGGCUUCUGGUAUAAAGAAACAAAUAUAUAGCGUUCAAAAAAAAAAAAGAACACACUCAUGUUAAUCCAAGCACUACCAUUAAUUCAAGCUCUACCACUAACUAAUACAAAUAAGUUAAUUGAUUCAUUUCAUCUCAGGCAAGUGGUCAGAUGCAAUGGUGACUAGCACUAUGAGGUAAAGCCAUGGCCUUAUUCAAAUGGGUUGUAAGAGAACUAAUAUCUGAGUCAUAGUAUGAUCAAGACCCUGACUCUGAAUUUAAACUCAGGUCUUUGACUCCCCCACAUAGUGUUCAUUUGACCACUAAACACUGUGGGUUUUGAUUAUGAUGGUCAGAAGCUGGCUCUAUCUCCUUCUGGAAAACAUACAUAUUUUGACAGCAGUGUAUUGGUGUAUUCUAUUUAUUCUUUCUCAAAC